CGCCCCCGGCGGCUCCUCCCCGGUUCCGCGGGGGGGGGGUGCCCGUCCCGCCGCCGCGGCCCCGCCGAGCCAUAAAGCCCAUGGGGAGCCGGCCGGGCUGAGCACGGCGGGACCCGCGACCCCCCCAGCAAGAUGACGUCCUCCACCAAGGUGUACUACAGCCAGACCACGCAGACCGACAGCCGCCCGCUGAUGGGGCCGGGGCUGCGGCGGCGCCGCGUGCUGACCAAGGACGGCCGCAGCAACGUGCGCAUGGAGCACAUCUCGGACAAGCGCUUCCUGUACCUCAAGGACCUGUGGACCACCUUCAUCGACCUGCAGUGGCGCUACAAGCUGCUGCUCUUCUCCGCCACCUUCGCCGGCACCUGGUUCGCCUUCGGCGUGGUGUGGUACCUGGUGGCGGCGGCGCACGGCGACCUGCUGGAGUUCGAGCCGCCCGCCAACCACACGCCGUGCGUGAUGCAGGUGCACACGCUGACCGGCGCCUUCCUCUUCUCCCUGGAGUCGCAGACCACCAUCGGCUACGGCUUCCGCUACAUCAGCGAGGAGUGCCCGCUGGCCAUCGUGCUGCUCAUCACCCAGCUGGUGCUGACCACCAUCCUGGAGAUCUUCAUCACCGGCACCUUCCUGGCCAAGAUCGCGCGGCCCAAGAAGCGCGCCGAGACCAUCAAGUUCAGCCAGAACGCGGUGGUGGCGCAGCACGACGGCAAGACCUGCCUGAUGAUCCGCGUGGCCAACAUGAGGAAGAGCCUCCUGAUCGGCUGCCAGGUCACCGGGAAGCUGCUGCAGACCCACCUCACCAAGGAGGGCGAGAGCGUCCGGCUCAACCAGCUCAACGUGGACUUCCAGGUGGACACGUCCUCGGACAGCCCCUUCCUCAUCCUGCCGCUGACCUUCUACCACGUGGUGGACGAGGCCAGCCCGCUGCGGGACGUGUCCCUGCGCUCGGGGGACGGCGACUUCGAGCUGGUGGUCAUCCUCAGCGGCACCGUGGAGUCCACCAGCGCCACGUGCCAGGUGCGCACGUCCUACCUGCCCGAGGAGAUCCUGUGGGGCUACGAGUUCACGCCGGCCAUCUCGCUGUCGGCCAGCGGCAAGUACGUGGCCGACUUCAGCCUCUUCGACCGCGUGGUCAAGGUGGCGGCGCCCUGCUGCCACCACGAGGCCGUGCGGUUCGGGGACCCCGAGAAGGUCAAGCUGGAGGAGUCGCUGCGGGAGGCGGAGCGCGAGGGGGAGGGCGCCCCGCUCAGCGUCCGCAUCAGCAACGUCUGAGGGGGGACAGAGGGGUGACACCGGCACCGGGGCGGCCCCCGGGUGGCACCGGGGCCAGGGGGUGGCGGCCGAUGGUGGAGGUGUCGCCGUGUCUGGAGGUAUCGCCAGGUUCAAGGGGACAGAAACAUCUGGGGGUGCCACCAGCCCCAAAGGGACACCAACAUCUGGGGGUGCCACCAGCCCCAAAGGGACACCAAGAUCUGGGGGUGUUGACACCUCCAGCCCUGGAGGUGUCAUCAAGUCUGGUCAGUCACCAGACCUGGAAGUGUCACCAGCCCUGGAGGUGCCACCAGCUUCAGAGUGUCACCAAGUCUGGAAGUGUUGCCAGGUUUGGAGUUUUCACCAGUUUCAACGGGACACCAACCCCUGGAGGUGUCACCAGCCCUGGAGAUGCCAUCAACCCCAAGGGGAUAUCAGUGUCUGAAGAAGCCACCAGUCCCCAAGUGUCACUGGUGUUGAGAUGUCACCAGCCCUGGUGGUGUCACCAGUCCUUGGAGGUGUCACCAACAUCUGUCUGGAGGUGCCACCACCUCCAAAGUGUCACCACUGCCUGGAGGCGUCACCAACGCUUGAAGGCAAACAUCAAAGCUUGGAGGUGCCACCAGCCGUGAGGUGACACCAAGAUCUGGAGGUGCCACCAUUCCCAAGAUGCCACCAAUGCCUGGAUGUGUCACUAAGCCCUCGAGGUGUCACUGACCACUGGAAGUGCCACCAGCCCCAAAGUGUCACCAACGCCCAGAAGAGCCACCAGCCAAGACUCCAGCAAUGCCUGGAGGUGUCACCAUCUGGAGGUGUCACCAUCUGGAGGUGUCACCAAGCCCUGGAGGUGACACGAGUCCCAAAGUGCCACCAAGCCCUGGAGGUGCCACCAGCCCCAAAGUGCCACCAUGACCUGAGGGUGACACCAGCCCCAAAGUGCCACCA